CCUAUCAGGUAGUUGGUAAGGUAACGGCUUACCAAGCCUAUGACGGGUAGCCGGUUUGAGAUGAUGAUCGGCCGCGAUGGGACUGAGACACGGCCCAUACUCCUACGGGAGGCAGCAGUGGGGAAUAUUGCACAAUGGACGAAAGUCUGAUGCAGC
rnacentral:rRNA from 1 species